GUGCUCAUUUAGGCAGCACAUAUACUAAAAUUAGAACAAUAUAGAUUAACAUGGCCCCAAUGCAAGGAUAACAUGCAAAUUUGUGGGAAAAAAGUCUAUGCU